rnacentral:ribozyme from 1 species
CCCGACCACUGCUGUUACCUUGACGUGGUGGUCGGGCUUGCCUAUCGUGAUGAACCAAUCGAGUUAUACUGACUAGAACAAUCGUUCCUCAAGGUCUUACCAUGCGAGGCAGGUCGGUUGAAGAGCGGUAAGACUAAAAGCAGC